GAGUUUGAUCUUGGCUCAGAUUGAACGCUGGCGGCAUGCCUUACACAUGCAAGUCGAACGGCAGUCACGGGAGCUUGCUCCUGGUGGGCGAGUGGCGAACGGGUGAGUAAUGCAUCGGAACGUAUCCUGGAGUGGGGAUAACGUAGCGAAAGUUACGCUAAUACCGCAUAUUCUGUGAGCUAGGAAAGACGGGGGACCUUUCGGGCCUCGCGCUCUUGGAGCGGCCGAUGUCGGAUUAGCUAGGUUGGUGAGGUAAAGGCGUCACCAAGGCGACGAGUCCGUAAGGCAGGUCUCGAGAGGAUGAUCUGCCACACUGGAACUGAGACACGGUCCAGACUCCUAC
rnacentral:rRNA from 1 species